ensembl:misc_RNA Metazoa_SRP Metazoan signal recognition particle RNA
GCCAGGCAUGGUGGUGCAUGCCUGUGGUCCCAGCUACUCAGGAGGCUGAGGCAGGAGGAUUGCUUGAGGCAAGGAGUUCCAGGCUGUAGUGAGCCAUGAUGGCACCACUGUACUCCAGCCUGGGCAAGAGAGUAAGACCCUGUCUCUU